GGUGAACCUGCGGAAGGAUCAUUACCGAUGUGAAAAAAUCCAAGGUUAAACAUCAUUAACCAACCAGUGUGAACUGUGAAACAACUCUUUAGGGGUCGGCACAGGCGUGUGUCGUUAAAUGGCGGAUAGGUUCCUUCCGCCAGCCCCGCCAUUGUGUUUAUUAUAUCACUUUGAACGUUAAAGACUGAGAACUAUGUAUCAUGCAUUAAAUGUAUGAGACAGAAGGAAAGAAAAAUGAGAGACAACUUUUGACGGUGGAUCUCUUGGCUCACGUAUCGAUGAAGAACGCAGCCAGCUGCGAUAUGUAGUGUGAAUUGCAGAAUUCAGUGAAUCAUUGAAUCUUUGAACGCAAAUGGCGCUCUUGGGUUCUCCCAGGAGCAUAUCUGUCUGAGUGUCGGAUUUUAUCGAACGCACUCGUGAGUGCGGUAUUGAGGUGUCACGGCGUGUUAGCAAGCAAGCAUUAAAUCGCCGUGUCCCUUGAAGGACAGCAGCAUUGGACUCGCAUUCUCUAUUGAAACUUGAGUGCGAAGGCUAAAGAUAAUAUUUUCCUUCGCCCAAACAUGCAAUAGCAGAAACAAAGUCCAAUCAAAGCGGUGACAGACAAUAAACAUCAAAUCUUGACCUCAGAUCAGGCAAGGCUACCCGCUGA
rnacentral:sRNA from 1 species